rnacentral:rRNA from 1 species
GGGGGGGCAACUCUCCAGUCGAGUGGCGGACGGGUGAGUAACACGUGGGUAACCUGCCCGGAAGUGGGGAAUACCUCGGGGAAACUCGAGCUAAUACCGCAUGACAUCUUCGGAACGAAGGUUCUGACGAUCAAAGCGGGGUCGCAAGAUCUCGCGCUACCGGAUGGGCCCGCGCCCGAUUAGCUAGUUGGCGAGGUAACGGCUCACCAAGGCUUCGAUCGGUAACCGGCCUGAGAGGGCGAUCGGUCACACCGGAACUGAGACACGGUCCGGACUCCUACGGGAGGCAGCAGUGGGGAAUCUUGCGCAAUGGGCGAAAGCCUGACGCAGCAACGCCGCGUGGAGGAUGAAGGCCCUUGGGUUGUAAACUCCUGUCGGUUGGGAAGAAAUUGUUCGGGGCUAAUACCUCCGGACAUUGACUGUACCAGCAAAGGAAGCCCCGGCUAACUCUGUGCCAGCAGCCGCGGUAAUACAGAGGGGGCCAGCGUUAUUCGGAAUUAUUGGGCGUAAAGGGCGCGUAGGCGGCCAUGCGUGUCUUCCGUGAAAUCCCUCGGCUUAACUGAGGACGUGCGGAAGAAACUGCGAGGCUUGAGUCCGGGAGAGGGGGGUGGAAUUCCCAGUGUAGCGGUGAAAUGCGUAGAUAUUGGGAGGAACACCGGUGGCGAAGGCGGCCCCCUGGACCGGUACUGACGCUGAGGCGCGAAAGCGUGGGUAGCAAACGGGAUUAGAUACCCCGGUAGUCCACGCCGUAAACGAUGGGCACUUGGUGUCGCGGGUAUCGACCCCUGCGGUGCCGAAGCUAACGCA